CAGCUUGCUGGGUGGAUUAGUGGCGAACGGGUGAGUAACACGUGAGCAACCUGCCCCUGACUCUGGGAUAAGCGCUGGAAACGGCGUCUAAUACUGGAUACGAACAAGAAUCGCAUGGUUACUUGUUGGAAAGAUUUUUCGGUUGGGGAUGGGCUCGCGGCCUAUCAGCUUGUUGGUGAGGUAAUGGCUCACCAAGGCGUCGACGGGUAGCCGGCCUGAGAGGGUGACCGGCCACACUGGGACUGAGACACGGCCCAGACUCCUACGGGAGGCAGCAGUGGGGAAUAUUGCACAAUGGGCGCAAGCCUGAUGCAGCAACGCCGCGUGAGGGAUGACGGCCUUCGGGUUGUAAACCUCUUUUAGCAGGGAAGAAGCGAGAGUGACGGUACCUGCAGAAAAAGCACCGGCUAACUACGUGCCAGCAGCCGCGGUAAUACGUAGGGUGCAAGCGUUAUCCGGAAUUAUUGGGCGUAAAGAGCUCGUAGGCGGUUUGUCGCGUCUGCUGUGAAAUCUGGGGGCUCAACCCCCAGCCUGCAGUGGGUACGGGCAGACUAGAGUGCGGUAGGGGAGAUUGGAAUUCCUGGUGUAGCGGUGGAAUGCGCAGAUAUCAGGAGGAACACCGAUGGCGAAGGCAGAUCUCUGGGCCGUAACUGACGCUGAGGAGCGAAAGGGUGGGGAGCAAACAGGCUUAGAUACCCUGGUAGUCCACCCCGUAAACGUUGGGAACUAGUUGUGGGGUCCAUUCCACGGAUUCCGUGACGCAGCUAACGCAUUAAGUUCCCCGCCUGGGGAGUACGGCCGCAAGGCUAAAACUCAAAGGAAUUGACGGGGACCCGCACAAGCGGCGGAGCAUGCGGAUUAAUUCGAUGCAACGCGAAGAACCUUACCAAGGCUUGACAUAUACGAGAACGGGCCAGAAAUGGUCAACUCUUUGGACACUCGUAAACAGGUGGUGCAUGGUUGUCGUCAGCUCGUGUCGUGAGAUGUUGGGUUAAGUCCCGCAACGAGCGCAACCCUCGUUCUAUGUUGCCAGCACGUAAUGGUGGGAACUCAUGGGAUACUGCCGGGGUCAACUCGGAGGAAGGUGGGGAUGACGUCAAAUCAUCAUGCCCCUUAUGUCUUGGGCUUCACGCAUGCUACAAUGGCCGGUACAAUGGGCUGCAAUACCGUGAGGUGGAGCGAAUCCCAAAAAGCCGGUCCCAGUUCGGAUUGAGGUCUGCAACUCGACCUCAUGAAGUCGGAGUCGCUAGUAAUCGCAGAUCAGCAACGCUGCGGUGAAUACGUUCCCGGGUCUUGUACACACCGCCCGUCAAGUCAUGAAAGUCGGUAACACCUGAAGCCGGUGGCCUAACCCCU
rnacentral:rRNA from 1 species